AUCGUGCCGGUCGUAUAAUGGCAAAAGCUGGCUUAACUGCAAGACGGACAUGUCAAGCUCCGAAUCAUUAUUUUGUUUUUUUUAUUAAAUGAAACGAUUAUUCGGACCAUUAGCCUUCGGGCUAAUUGGAGAUGCGAAAGCAGAACAUAAUGAACUGCUUGUGGGUAUUAGACGCCGCAAGCAAUUAACGGCUAAAAGUUACUCCGGGGAUAACAGGCUAGUCGGACCCACGAGUCCAUAUCUACGGUCCGGUUCGGCACCUCGAUGUCGGCUCAUCUUAUCCUGGUGGCGGAGAAGCUACCAAGGGUUUGGCUGUUCGCCAAUUAAAAAGAUACGCGAGCUGGGUUCAAACCGUCGUGAGACAGGUUGGUCUCCUAUCUGCUGCAGGCGUUGAUUCUUGAGGAAAUUCUUUCCUAGUAUGUAAAAUUGCUACUUUCCCGAGUAAUCGGGUUUGAAAAUUCGGCUAAUAACGGUGGAAUCUUAAUAAUUCUGGGAACCGUUGAUAACUAUUAUUGCCCUUGGUCCGGCAAUAUAGUACAAUCUACUUGAGGACCAGAAAUUAUUAAGACAAUACCGUGGGAAGUCUAUCUAAAAUAAAUUUAGCUUAAGAACAAUUAUGUAACCAAAAGAAAGAGAAC
rnacentral:rRNA from 1 species